AUAGUUUGGAAAAGUGCGUUGGUGGCCAGGGAAGAAUCUCUUAGUUUGAAUGACGGCCCACAUCAACUCUAUCUGACUUCUUUACAAUACAAUAUUUCUACCUUUAUUUAACUAGGCAAGUCAGUUAAGAACAAAUUCUUAUUUUCAAUGACGGCCUAGGAACAGUGGGUUAACUGCCUGUUCAGGGGAACAGUGGAUUAACUGCCUGUUCAGGGGAACAGUGGGUUAACUGCCUGUUCAGGGGAACAGUGGGUUAACUGCCUGUUCAGGGGAACAGUGGGUUAACUGCCUGUUCAGGGGAACAGUGGGUUAACUGCCUGUUCAGGGGAACAGUGGGUUAACUGCCUGUUCAGGGGAACAGUGGGUUAACUGCCUGU